rnacentral:rRNA from 1 species
AUCUCGGCUCUCGCAUCGAUGAAGAACGUAGCGAAAUGCGAUACUUGGUGUGAAUUGCAGAAUCCCGUGAACCAUCGAGUCUUUGAACGCAAGUUGCGCCCGAAGCCUUCGGGCCGAGGGCACGCCUGCCUGGGCGUCACGCAUCGUGUCGCUCCCCCCUCUCCGCUCGAAUGAAGCGG